rnacentral:rRNA from 1 species
GACGAACGCUGGCGGCGUGCUUAACACAUGCAAGUCGAACGGAAAGGCCCUGCUUUUGUGGGGUGCUCGAGUGGCGAACGGGUGAGUAACAAGUGAGUAACCUGCCCUUGACUUUGGGAUAACUACAGGAAACUGGGGCUACUAACGGAUAGGAGCUCCUGCUGCAUGGUGGGGGUUGGAAAGUUUCGGCGGCUGGGGCUGGACUCGCGGCUUAUCAGCUUGUUGGUGGGGUAGUGGCUUACCAAGGCUUUGACGGGUAGCCGGCCUGAGAGGGUGACCGGCCACAUUGGGACUGAGAGACGGCCCAGACGCCUACGGGAGGCAGCAGUGGGGAAUAUUGCACAAUGGGCGGAAGCCUGAUGCAGCAACGCCGCGUGCGUGAAGACGGCCUUCGGGUGGUAAACCGCUUUCGCCGGUGACGAAGCGUGUGUGACGGUAAUGGGUAAAGAAGCACCGGCUAACUACGUG